rnacentral:lncRNA from 1 species
AGCCGACCCGCGCCCCGCCCCGCCCUGGCAGGAGUGGCCGCCCCGGGCUCGGGCGUGGCGGGGCUCUGCGGGUCCCCCACCCCCAGCGCUGGGCGGUCCCGCCCUGCCGCUCUCCCUCGGCCCGGCCUGGUCCCGAGCAGCUGGGGAGCUGAGACCUAAGGCUCGGAGGCCGGUCCCAGCCGAGAAGCCCCGGAGAAGGCAGGCUGGCGCCACGCCGCAGCCGGGAGCGCUCACCGGCGGGGGACUCGCCGCAGCCCCUUCCCCCUCGGGCCCCUUCCCCCUGGGGGGGCCCCUCCUCCGGGGGGCCCCCUCCUCCGGGCCUCCCCCGGCCUCCCUGAAACAAAACCCUGGUUUCGGGGCCCAGAGAAGACUCAGCAGCUUCUUCCAGGGAGUCCCUGGCCCCGCUGCCAACACCACCGGACCGGGAGCAGGGCCUGGCCCCAUCCUUUUUAUCAGGGGAUGGCGACGACAGAGGGCAAGGGCGAAAACUGGGGUGACUCGGAUGCGAGUGGAAGCCCCCGCAUCUGGUAGAAGGGAGACGCGGAACGCCAGGCGUUAUAUGUCCUAGGGAGAGUGCGGGUGACCCUCCGCAACUGGGGAGCGCAAGCCCCCGGGAGCCAGGCUUUCUAGCAUGACACUGAGUAGUAGCAGCACCGAGCUCCAACUCCAGAGCUAAGAGAAAUGGUUUGAAUUCCACGUCCUCCUCUCAAUAGCCGUGGGAACUUGGAUAAAGUAUUUUAUCUCUAUCAUCACGCGCCAACACUGGGAACACAGAGAUAACUAAGCACCACGCCUUGUUUCAAGGAACUCCAGGCGGAUGAGUGCCUUGGUGCAAAUGCUGCCCCCAGCAACCAUGCUGCCACAGCCUGUUCACAUGAACUCUCAGCUAAUACUCACACCCUCGUCUGUAAGUCACUUCCUGUGAAAGCAUCUGCCAAUGUUGAACACUAUACUUGAGAACCUAGGAGAGUAGAGAAUGCCUCCCAUUCUGAGAGAGCCUGGAGCACUUCAGGAAGCAAGAGGAAAAUUGUGCUCAAUGCUAAUUCCCUUCCAGCGCAGGGAAGACAAAAGUGGUUCAUGUACGAUCUCGGCCCAGGAGCCACUUCAUACCAGCCAGAGUCUGCGUGGGUACGUACUGGGGAGAGCAAGGGAGAUUCCAGCCAGGGGCCCUUCUGACUUUAUCCAGUGGUCUGCCCAAUUCCAGUGGCAGCUGGCAGGUGACCUGUGUGGCCAAAGACUGAUGGCUCCCUGGGCCAUUACAGAUUCUACAAAAGAAGAGCAGCAUAUCACCCAGUCUCUUCCUAUCAACAACAGACUUCUCAGCACCGGCUCUAAGCAGCAUCUACUCCCAGGAGAGGAAUGCAGGGCAAGAGCAAACAUGGUGAGGUGGCUGCACUUCUCCACCCUUCACUCGCUUCAUUUUUCCAGGGCUCUUCUUGCUCAAAUAUCAAGCAAAGCCCUAGGGGCUGUACCAAGAGGGUAACCUGUAGCCCAUCAGUAGGAAAUGACUGUGGCCUGCAGGUGCUUUGCUGGAGAGUUGCAGAAGGCUGGGGCCUCAGGGCCUUUUAGUUACUAGGAAAUAAUGGGCUGUGACUAUAUUAUAAAUGAGUCCAAAGGUUAGCAGGGAGCAGGUGGGCAGGCAGAUACCAGGAUCCAUAGAGAAGGAAGGGAAAGAUGGAGAGGAUGAGCACAAAUUUAAUGAGCACUCUUUAAUUUGCCCAUGGUCACACGGCUGGCCAGGCAGACUGAACCCAGUUCCACAUGACUUUCCCUAACCCUGUGCUCUUAUCUUACCCCAUCUGCUGGACUGCCAAGGCUCACUGGGUGAGUUGGUACACAGGGCAUCGCUGUAGAAAAAGGCACUGGAAGGUUUCGGGAUUUGGUAAAUUGACCCCUGGGCCUGAAAACUCAAGAGGAAAUUAGCAUUUGUUUUCUCUGUCAAUAAAGGACCUCAGUAUUUUAUUUCCUUGUCUCGGUAAAUGUAUUUUCCAGUGUUAGGGAAAUUUCCCCUGUACCUGCUUCCCUCACAGGGCUAAGUGUCCUAGGUCAGAUGU